rnacentral:ncRNA from 2 species
UGAUGGCGAACGGGAGAGACUGCCUUUUUCAUAAGGCGGCACCGAAGGAGCAAGCUGCGGGAGGGCACAAACCGGCGGCUAAUCUCUCAGGUACAAGGAACCGUCGCCGGAC